UCCAUUGCUGUCCAGUGGUUAGGAUACUUGGCUUUCACCCAAGAGACCCGGGUUCAAUUCCCGGCAAUGGAA
rnacentral:tRNA from 1 species